AAGAAUUUGGCGGUGUUUUAUUCUAAUCAGAGGAACUUGCCCCGUUAUCGAUAGUCCUCGUUUUAUCUUACUUGAUUUAUUUAGUAUGUAUACCGCCGUUAUAAGUUUAUUUUUUUAGAAUUUUAUUUACUGAUAAUUUUAUUUUGUUUUAUUUCAGGUCAAGGUGCAGCUUAUAAUUAAGUGGAGGUGAGUUACAUUAUUAUUUGAAUAAAUGGAUUUUUUUUUGAAAAUUUUUAAUGAAGGUGGAUUUGAUUGUAAUUUUAUUUAUUGAUUUAUUUUGAACCUGGCUCUAGGACAAGUACACAUCGCCCGUCGCU
rnacentral:rRNA from 1 species